UACAAAAUUAUCCUUUAUAGUGGUAAAUUCUUUCACAGACAUCUACCUCACGUGCCAUCGCCUCACCUUCAAAACCCUUUGUCUCCUCUACCAAACCCUCACUCCUGGCGAUGAAGGACCGGCCUCCUUCCUCGUACGGCUCCAUUUACAUCCCUCCCGACCAUCGCCUCUACUCCGUCUUCACUACCCCCAAGUAUACCUCCCAUGUUUCAAUCGGCUCCAAGCUCCAGGAAAAACCAGACUGCUGCUGCCGCUGCUGCUCUCAACAGGAGGAGCAGCACCAGUGGUGCUCUGGUGUACUACCAAACUCAGCAGCAGCAGGAGUAGUUGCAUAAACCCAAGCUAUAGCAGACUUCUGUUUACGACGCCAACGUUUCAGAUGAAGGCUUUGAUUGCAAAGUUGAGUUGUUUCUAUAUGUGGAUUGUGUACUCGUGGAGUUGUUAAUUGGGAAGCAUGCGUGUUUACUAAGUGUGAAUUGGUGAUUGCGUUUCAAUUAGGGCUCAACAGCUGAUCACAUUGAUCAGAGAAUUAGUCUUGUUUUAUAAGAUCUUAUGAAAAUUUGAGGGAAGAUCAACAACUGACCGGCUCACUCUCAAGGCUAAUGCUCAGUUUGCAAAUGAGCCGCACAUGGCUAUUGGCAUGGUCAAUUUGGACUACAAGGUCAUCUUUCAAUUUACAAGUUUCAGUUCUUCAGGAACAUUUUAGUGUACUAGAUUGCCUUCAGCUUCGUUAAAGUCUCCAAGUUUAGUUUUAGAAGUACAUGGUGGUUCUCAUCUCAUGUGUCAUAUGGAUAUGGUGCUCCUAUGAUUACACAGGGUUCAGACUCACCAAUUUCUCCAAAAUAACGACCUAAUGUGAAGCAAUAAGAUAGACUUGUUCAUAUGGGUGCAGAAAUUAGAUGGCAUGCAAGGUCACCUACUAAAAAAAAUGGGAAUACAACAAACUGUCAGGCAAUAAGAAAGGCUUGGUGCAGAAGUUAGACUCUGAUGUUUGAAGAGGUGGACGAGUGUUUCAUUUUUUUAGUUUUUAAUUUGGUUGUUCAUUGACUCGCGUACUCAGUGCGAUGUGAAAUGUUGUGUUGAUUUUU